rnacentral:tRNA from 1 species
UGCGGAGUAGCUUAAUGGUAGAGCACGUGGUUCAUACCCACGGUGAUGUUGGUUCAAUUCCAUCUUCCGCUA